AUUCUGACCAACUCCUUCCCUUCCUGGAUUCACCUUCUCUGGAUAAACCCCAUCUUUAGGAUGCAAAUAUUGAACUUCCCCAUUAGGAAAAACCCUAUAAAAUUGAUACUUAAUCUUGUACUUAGAUCUCAGCCUUGUCCCCAAAGCCAAACACUGCUCUUUCCUAGCCAAUUUCAGCAGAUUCGGCCCUUCUCGCAUAAUCGCCGCGCCACCGGUCGGCAUCUCGAAUAUUUGCUCCUUGGGGGACUCCCAUGUUAUGACAUAGAAUUCCUCCACCUGGGCCUUCCGGAGCAGUCCCCCGGUACUGCCGGCGAAGAUUGGGGAAGGGGUGGUUGGGUCGAGCUCUGGUGGGGAGAAUCCGGCAGGAGCCUCGACCGGGGCCGCCUGGGCUUCGGCUUCGGCAGAGACCUUGAGUGAGCGGGAAGAGGAGGCGGGCUUGAGGGGCUUGGAGUUGAGGAAGGAGAGAGUUGGGGAUUGCUUCCAUGGGACGGUAAUGGCGGUGGAUUUGGGGCUGGAGAGAGAUGGGGUGAAGAGGGUUGCUUGAGCUGCCAUGGCCAUGGGAUUGAAGCAGAGGAAGAGGAUUGGAAAUGGU
rnacentral:misc_RNA from 1 species